rnacentral:lncRNA from 1 species
UGGCGGGAUAACGACAUGAAAAUGUCGAAUCCACAAAUUAAAAAUCUGUUUUUUGCACAAUAAAUUAAAUCAAACCAAUGCAAGGGUAGAACCCAAGUCAAGAGAGUUAGAAAACCAAAUCCUCAACCAACUCAAUCACUUACAACAUGUCAAAAAUGUACAUGGAAAAAAACAGAUAUAAAUGGAGAAAAAAAAUAAAAGCAAUGUAAAGAUGCAACAAUCUUAAAUCAGUCCAAAAUUAAUUCAAUACAUACAAUUAAUAUACAUAGUAAAAAUUCGGAAUCUGAAACAAAUAACCAGAUGGAGGUUAACACACAUAUUCAAAAUUGAAACCUGUACAACAAAACCAGUCCAAAAUCAAACUAUCCAUUCAAACAUGUUCGAAGUCGAAGUCAAAGUAUGCAGAAUCAAUACGUUACAAUAAUGCGAAAAUAAAACUCAGCUCAAAACAAAGUAAUAUUGUUAAUUCUGACAAUAAAUGCAGCACAAACAGAAAACUCACGCCGCGGAACCGAAGAGAACAUCCUGUAUAUUUCAAUAGCAAGUGCAAUGAAAACAGAUUGAUUCGAAAACUCCCGACGCAGCGUCACUACAUUUGUUGCUGACGGACUCACGAAUCCAUGGUUGUGUCUGAUUUCGUCAUCGUUUAUGGAGGUAAAACGGGAGGUCGCGAUUUGGUUUGUGGGUGGUUCAAGCUAUGGUGAUGAGCUUUCGAUUUACAGAAAAAAUGGAGAUGAGGGAGGAGACGCAAAGAGUAUUUACGGCGGAGGAUGUAUGGAAGAAUGAAUGGAGAGUUUUCUAUUUUCCAAUUUUUUUUAAAGCAGAACCACACCUUGAUUUCCGUUUUUUCUCCCUUUUUCUCAAUGCGGAGGGGAUUCACGUGAGGGAGUGGAAUCCAUGGCCCUAAGGACGCGUUUGGAUAAAUAUUAUGCAGAAAAACAGUUUUUUUCAUCUACUAAUAUCUGUUUGACACGUGUCUUAAAGAAGAGAAGCAUCCAGUUUUAAUUGUCCAUGUGGCAACCAUUGAUGGGAGGAUAGAGGUAUUUCAUUGGCUUAUUAUCUCUUUCUUACUAAUUCUUAUUUAUAUUCCAUUUUUUUAUUGGAAGAAAGAGAGAAACAUGGAUAAGAUGAAAGCAAAGAAAUAAAUUUAAUUUAAAAUAUCAAAAUUGUCCCUUUUAUAUAUUUUAAUUGAUUAAAAUCAAUUUAAAUCAAUUAAAACAAAUAAAGUUCAUACUUUUUAAAAAUAAAUUUGAUAAAAUAAAAAUGAAAGCAUAGAUAAUUCUAUUAAAUUAUUUUGAACAUUUUGACAAAAGAAUAAAAAUUAGGCGUGAAAAUGUCCGAAAAAUUAAAAUGAAUGCAUCACGUGAAGGUGUGAAAAACACAAGAAUGAGGGGUUUUAAUUGGGUUUUACAAGCAAAAGUGUUUUUCAAAACAAGAACACCACUAACAUAUUAAUAACAAAGAGAUAAAAACAUAAGGAUUAUUAUCUUAUUCGCUUGAAACUCAAAGCUACUCUAGUUCACCCGCUAAGGUGAUUUUGUCUUAUACACAAGAAUUUAGGCUAUGUGAAAUACAUUUUUCUAUUUCGACUCGCAUCCAUCCAUGAACAUCCCUAAUAAAGGCUAUGUGAAAUACAUUUUUCUAUUUCGACUCGCAUCCAUGAACAUCCCUAAUAAAGGCCAUGUGAAAUACAUUUUUCUAUUUCGAAACAAAAGUUUCAAUGUUGAAAACUACAAUUUCAAGAUUGGUCAAAUGUAUUAUGAAGAUGUCGAAGCAUCCACUUGAAUAUUAAAAUAUAAUGUCUAAUUUUAUAUUAUGAAUGAUAAUUUUAUUUCAUCAAAAUACACCUUUCUGAUUUUCUGGUUAUGUUUCAUUAUACUACUGAAAUGCAUCUACAGACAAAUUCUAAAGAUAUAUAUCUGAAUCAAAAAAAUACACUCAUUUCGCGUCACUCAAAAUUAACCUAGAUUGUGUACUCAAAAUUAACCUAGGUUGUGUUUGGAUACAUCUAGAGAUGUAUCUCUGAAAUCUAUUGGCAUUUUAGUAUUUUCACGUGGUACCCUAAUAAUAUAUAAUACCCUUAUCUUAUUUUCUCUUUGAAUGAAAUGAUAUGAUCUUUUCAAUAAAAGAACUCACUUCACGUCCAUUUUUCUUCUUACAAACACUCAAACCCCUAAAUUUAUGCACAACAUCAACAUGUUAAAGCCAUUAGAGUCUUGUCUUUAUUUUUUGGUAAUGAUUAGAGGGUCUUAUUUAACAUGCAUCAAUCUACAAAUCACAACAGCCCAUUUGAAUUAGAGCAAAGAAGGAACUCAUCCAUUCUGCAAGUGAGAAUAAUAAUUUUCAUUUCGUCAAAUGACACCGAGAUGAAAAGAGAAUCAUGCCCCCUGCUAAUUUACUUUUUACCAUCCACAAAAACCUCCUAUCAGAUUUGAAUAAACUGUAUUUUAUUUACAGUUUUUAUUUCAAAUGACUAUACAAAGGCGUCUGAAGAUAUAGAAGGCUAAUAAUGCUUAAAAGGGAUGUACAGGGGGGCUCUUACAGGCGCAAAAUGGAAUAUAUGAUCUUGAGAUUGAAUGAAGCCCGGUGACAUUUUAAUGGGAAGUUUAAUCCCAUAAUUUGGUUAGUAUUUUCACCCCAUUGAUAGCCUCCUCAUCCCUAUAAAAAGAAGGGACACAAUAUAGCUCCAUAACCUGGCGCAAUAAAUCUAAGCUUGCAUUGCUCCCUAAGCAGACUGCAAAGUGACCUGUUCCGUAGAAGUUAUGUCAUACUUGGCAUUGGCCUCAGGGGUAUCUUCUUCACUAGGUGGAACUAACUGCCAAAAUAGUGAUAAAUACUUGUCCCAAUCCUUCAGAAUAGCAUCACCUUUGUUGCUACCCGUUUUUUCCUUCAUACAGAAAGGUUAAAAAAUGAUUGUGCGUUUAUGAUUAUUAAGUCAUAAAAUAGUGAUUUUCUGCUUCAAAUUAUAAUCGUGCAUGCAUAAAUUGUAGCGAAUGUGUAUUAGGAGCUUACAACAUGGGCUUCAAUUAGUUUCUUCAGCUGCAUCUGCCCCACUGGCGCUGAUACUCGUUGAAUUUUAACAAUUUCUCUGUUUAUCUGUCUCAGACGAAAGAGAAACAAACAAAACAUUAGCAAGAUUUCAUUUCAAGCAACAAGAAUAAUAACUUUCAAGGUUAUUAUAUGUUCCUCCUAUUUGUAAUUUAAAAUGGAGAAGGCAUAGUGAAAUGGGUUCUGGUAUAUAUACCUUGGGAAUGAGAGUAUUGUCCUCAUCGAGAAUAUAAGCCAACCCUCCUGUCAUUCCAGCAGCUACAUUUCUUCCCACUCUGUCAAAGUAUAAAAUGUGUGAAAACCUCAACUAGCAGUUACACCAAAAAAGAGGGGUCGAGGAUGAGCAUGAGAAGAGUACAAAGAAUAUUACUCACUUUCCUAGGAUAACCACACAGCCACCAGUCAUGUACUCACAACAAUGAUCUCCUGUGCCUUCAACUACAGCUUCAGCAAGUGAGUUUCUGACAGCAAACCUUUCCCCAGCUUUCCCUCUUACAAACACCUGCCCUCCUGUUGCCCCAUACAAGCAAGUGUUACCCACAAUAGCUGCAUCCUCAGGUUGGAACCCUGUCUUGUCAACUGGAGUGACAACCAAUUCUCCUCCAGCCAUUCCCUAACGGCAGUCAAAAAUAUACAUGAGAAAAUUGUGGCUCAACUGAAUUAUCUAAAUAAAAAUUUCAGAACAGGUAUUGUAAAACAAAAACAUCAAUUUCAUCCAUUAUGGUGAUUUAGAAAACGUGUAAUGCUGCUACUGGAGCUCAACUGUCUUCCCUAAAGCUGGUAACUUUCACACAUUCUCUUUUUGCAAAGCAGGAUGGCGAGAAUGUCCAGCUGUGAAAAAGUACGACAAGGGCUAAUUAUAACAAAUAAGCUUCAUUGUUUUAUGGGGAAAGUACUCAUUCCAUUAAGUAUGCUUCCAAAGCAGAUUUUCAACCAGAUCUGGUGGCUGAUGCAAUGUGAAAAACAGGAAGGAUAAAUAUUUUCUAAAUCUUCUCUGCUCGAGCGAUUAGUGCCGAACAGUGUGAAAUAUAAAAAGGAUCUUGUUAACUUGUUCCCUAAGAGCACAUGUUAAGAAAUCAAUAGAAAAUUUAUGUUGAAAAAAACAAAUUUCAAACUUUUAACAAAUUGAAUGCAUGAAUUCCAAGGAAAUAUUUCUAUAUUAAGUUCACUAAUAUGUACCAUUAGAAAAAAUGCUAGCAUUUUCCUUAAAAACAUAAGUGUUGACUCACUUAUCACAUGAACCCCACAUCUAUUUGUCCAUGUGCAAGGUCCGGUUAGAGUUCCAACAGAUCUUUAACAACGAAGACCAUUCUUACAAAUGGCAGAUAUAUGGAGUACUACAGUUCAAAGAAAAUAAAAAGUAACUGUUAAGAAUGUGUGAUUGAGCCUAACUCAACCCUACAAAACCUGUUGGUAGAGUGAGGACUGCCCCCAUUUAUAAACACAUGUUCAGGCCAUAUAUUGUCCAAUGCGAGACUUUUAACACACCCCCUCACGCCUAGGACUAGACAUCUGGAGCGUGGAAAUAAAUGGUGGGUGGUCCGAUAGCGAAAACCAUAAUAGGUGGCCCACCGGAUCUUAAACCAAACUCUAAUACCAUGUUAAGAAUGUGUGAUUGAGCCUAACUCAACCCUACAAAACCGGUUGAUAGAGUGAGGACUGCCCCCAUUUAUAAACACAUGUUCAGACCAUAUAUUGUCCAAUAUGGGAGGGACUCUUAAGAGUAACAAAAUAUUUGGGAAAAGAAAACAAGACUAAACUUGGAAGGUCACAAUUUUAUGGCGUCUAAAAGAUAUGUAACUCUACUUUAUAUACAUAAAGAUUACAAGGAAAAUAAAUGCAACUGUAAUUUACAAGAUGUAUGAUUAAGCUAUCUCUAUUCCCUGAGAUGCAUUACCUAAUCUUCUUGUUGAACAGCGAAUUUAAACUGCUUGGGAAGUGGAACAUUAAUGGCAAUAUUUAAGAUUAUUAUUCCAACAAUUUACGAUUAACUUAAAUAACAGAUUCAGAUUACAGUUUCUAUAGAACUCUUUCCACUCGGAUUUUCUUACAACUUCCUUCACUCAAAAUUUAAUAGCACAAGCCUCACUCUUAAUCACUUGAUAAGUGGAAAUCAAGUAACAUAUUUUAGGUAUAAAUUUCCAAAAGAUAUUUGCAAUAAUGCACCACAGCAGAGUUAAUACAAUACCUUUCCAACAUAAUCAUUAGCUUCUCCUACAAGGCGAAUAUUCAUUCCUGGAGUCAGAAAGCAUCCAAAUGACUGCCCAGCACUUCCGGUAAAUCUGGAAGCAUGGAGAAAAACAUAGUUAGCUUUCAGUUAAAUACUUCCAGUUUUACGAUAUUAGAGUUCAAACUGCAUAUUAUGAUAUCUUACGUUAUAUUCAACUGUCCAGCAAAACCAGUAUCACCGUAUUUCUUUGCAAUAACACCAGCUAUCCGACCACAGACAGCACGAUCAACAUUGUAUAUAUUUACAGUCUUACUGACUGCUUUUUCAUUUUCAAUGGCAUCUGCAAUCUGGACAAAAGUAUUUUAUAUUACUGACUUGUGUAUGACAUAUUUCUAUAAAGUACAGAACUAUUUUCUUCAAUUAUUUUUUUCUAUUGAAAACAUUACUGAGUUAGUAAAACAACUUCUGAAAUUAGAGAUACUGGGAAUCCAGCUUUGAAAGAUAUAGCCUAGUAGGGAACUUAUUUCAUCCACCAUUUCAUAGUUAGAUUGCAGACUUAUUUCAUCCAACAUUUCAUAGUUAGAUUGCACCUUCGCGACCCAUUAUAUAAAUUGAAUUACUCAUCAGGAAACAACCUUUAUAUAAAUUGAUUACUCGUCAGGAAGCAUGUUAAUUUUUUAAGAAUGAAGAAAACUUUGCAAUCAAUUUCAAGUAAAUAAAAGAUAAAGAUUACAUUUAAAAAUACACUAGUAGGAAUCCAGUAUUUUCUACUCCCCUCACUCUUCAUACCUUAAGUAAUGGAUGGAAAUAAAAUUUGAAUAGUUUCUGGAACUUUUUAUUUAUUAUGCUAGAGAAUAAUGACAAGCAUUUGCCAAGCGGAAGAGAAUAACGAGAAACCUGUCGUCAUUCUUUUGGUUAAUUUUUUUUUUUUUACAUGUGGGUUACAUUUUUUAUUCCUUAUAAAAUGAGCAAAACUGUUUUGGUUCAUGUACAAUUUACUUUUUCUUUGGUUUCACUCCCUCUAACAUCUGAAAUUACUUCUUUUUCACUGUGUUCUAAAUGCCAUGUUCUAAGUUGUCUACCAAAUGUUAUCUUAAACAAGAGAUUUAGAACUGUACAAACUUUAGAAACUGUCAACUCAUAAAUGCUUGAAGGCUAAAUAUGAUUGUAGAUUCUCAUAAACUCCAUUAAAAGACCACUUUAAUUAGAUAUAAACUAAGAAGAGACUAAUGUAUAAAGUAAAUUUAAAAUGACCACGAGUGUUAACUCUGGUGGAAAUUCCUGAUCCUAUCUAUGAAGUUGAGAUUGUAAGAUGACUUUUUGCACGGGUGGCUUAUGAAUAAAUCUAACUUCAAAGUAGAGUCUUGUUGGAGAGUUAGGGGGAGUGCCGAGAGUAACAACGGGCCAAUGAUCCAAGACUAACAAGAGACCUUGACACCACAUCUCCAUCUAAAACCUUAAGACAUUGGAUAUAUGUCACCUCCCUUAUAUAUCCAUAAUUUAGAUCACUCAUAGUGGAUGUGGGACUAACUACUCACACUUGAACCCAAGAAUCUCUCCCUCAAGUGUGAGUCUCCCACAUCCUAUACAUGCACCUCCGUUACAACCACCAAAACAUGCCUGCUGAUUACACCACCAGAAAAACUUUCGAUACAAGGAUCCAAUACACCAAGAUCCACUCCCUCUACCAUAAGGCUUUCAUACAACGUGUUGAAGAGUUCGGGGAGUAUUGGGAGAAACAACAGAAAAAUGACCAGGACCACCGACAGAUCGAGACACCAUGUCCCCACCAAAAAAACCUUAAAGCAUUGAGUAUAUGGGCCACACUUGAACCCAACAAGUCAUAGGAAAAAUAGAAGUAAAUGCCAUUAGUUAAAGAAGUUAGUUUGUCGGAAUGUACAUUAGUUAGGAGCAGUUAGAGAAGACAUGCGGGGAAGGGAUGCUAGUUUGAUUAAUACGGGACACAAGAGCUGAAGGAUAAACCCUUUUUCAAGGUCUGAAGUGGAAUUCCUAGGAGGAGAGUUGAUUAUUUUUCUGUUCAGAUUUUAAUAACUAGUAGUAGAUUCAAUUUUUUUUUCUUCUAUCUUGUAUUAUAUUCUUCAAUACUUAAUUACAGAUUCAUUAAGAGUCCUAGUAUUUGAGCCCUAACUAUGAUUCACCUACAAAGUAGUCUUAAGAAAGUGUAUUGCAAAUGGGGGUGCCAAUAGUUUUUUAUUGCCAACAGCUAUAGCUGUUUAUAUGGUUACCUCUGCGUCUGCUAGCAAACCAUCAUCCAGAACAGGACCAUUUGUAUGUGGCUCCUGAUUCCGGAUUUCUGUACUGCUCCAUUUAGGUAACCCAACACUCUGAAAAGGAAAAUUUGACAACAUACAAGUCAGAGAAGCAGGUAGGAAGAGGAGGGGGGGUGUAUAUGAUUAUAGGCUACGUACAGAGAGGAUAUAACUCAGAUCUAGAUGCUGAGUUUUCACAAGAGAUAUGUCUCUUGGUCUCAGCAAGUCUGUUUGGCCAAUUAUAUCAUCUAACUUCUCAUACCCCAGCUGUGCCAAAGUGCCUCUUACCUGGUCACAUAAUAAUGAUAGAAAUAGUAAAAAAUUGUUAUAUUUAUUCUAAACAGGAAAAGGGAAAUACUGAUUAAUUGAAACUUCAAAGUGGGAUAUGAAAAUUAAAACCAAUAAGGUAACUUCAAAAUAUGGAAAACAUAAACAUGAAAGAUAUCAAUAGCAGCCCCAGAAUACCUCCUCAGCUACAUAUAAAAAGAGGUUGACAAGAUCACCGGGAACACCAGGAAAGCGUGCACGCAACUCUUCCCUCUGAAAUGUAAUGACAAAUUAGAUAUUAACCAAGUCAUGAGUACAUAAAAGCAUGUAAUAACAAAUCAGAUUUCUAAAAACCUGACUGGCAACACCAACUGGACAAUUAUUGGUGUGGCAAAUGCGAGCCAUAACACACCCAGUGGCAAUCAUUGCCACUGAACCAAAUCCAUAUUCAUCAGCACCCAUUAUUGCUGCCAUCAUGACAUCAACUCCACUUCUAAAUCCACCAUCAACUCUGAGAAUAACCCUUUCUCUGAGUCCAUUUGCAACGAGUGUCUGAAAGAAAAGUAGUACACAAUCAAUUGGAAAAUAACUUUUCAUGAAGAAUAAGUUGCAAUUAUACAGUUUCAUGACUCAAUUAUAACCUGGUGAGAUUCCGUAAGUCCAAGUUCCCAAGGACCUCCUGCAUGUUUGAUGGAACUUAUAGGGCUUGCUCCUGUUCCUCCAUCAUGUCCUGAAAUCUGCAAGUCGGUCGCAUUAUAAUAUGCUAUGCUUCACAAACAAUGAAGAAUAGAUAUCUGAGAAAUAAAAUUAUGCAUGCAUCUAAAACAUUACUUCCUCCGUUUUUUAUUAUAAGUCGUUUUUGACUUUUCACACGUAUUAAGAAAUGUAAUAAUUAUGGUAUGAAAAAGAUGAAUUAUGAAAGGUUUUACAAAAUUAUCCUUCAUUAAUGGUAUUGGAAAGACAAAUUGACAUAAUUGAAAAGAGAAAAAAUAAUACAUAUUUAAGGGUAUAAUAGAAAAAAUAACAUUAAUGAUUCAUUGGUACUAUAAAACGACUUAUAUUGUGAUACAAAAUAUUUUUCCAAAGCGACUUAUAAUAAAAAACGGAGGUAGUAAUAGAUUUCAGGCCACAGUAGAAACCUGUAUAAUGUCUGCAUUGCCCUUUGCAACCCCAGAUGCAACAGUGCCAAUUCCAGCUUCAGCCACCAGUUUUACAGAUACCUUGGCCCUAGGGUUCACCUGUUCAAAAAGUGAAUGAAGGAGAUGUUUCCCAAUUGCACUAGAUUUCAUUCAAAAGAGACAAGUGAAUAGGCAUGCAAGAGAGUCACCUGAUGAAGAUCAAAUAUCAACUGAGCAAGAUCCUCGAUAGAGUAAAUGUCAUGAUGAGGAGGUGGAGAUAUAAGAGGAACCCCUGGUUUAGAAUUUCUCAACCUAGCAAUAUACAUGCUAACUUUUUUCCCAGGCAAUUGUCCACCUUCACCAGGCUUCGCACCUUGUGCAAUUUUGAUUUCUAAUUGAUCAGCAUUUGCCAAGAAUGUUGGAGUGACACCAAACCUUCCUGAAGCAACCUGAUCCAAAAGAAAAAUAUUUUAUCAGAUUACCGCUGUUCACCUAAAUUAAUAUAUGGCUAGAGCUAUUACCUGUGGCCAGUUUUAGAUUAAAUACAAUUUAAAUCAACCAGACAAAUGAUUAUAAAAGCUAACUAGUUUCAAAUUUAUAAGACAUUAUGAAUAAUUAUCCGUCUGUCAAAUGUAAAUGACACCUCCAAAGAAUAUGCAAUAUGUAUGACAGAAUCUAUAACUCAUUAACUUUUGCUAUAUUUUCUUUAUGCAUCUGAACUACUAAGUUAAUACUGCAGGAAUUCCUUUACUGGUCAGAAGCUCUACCAUUGGUGGAGCUUCCUACAUGCAUAUUCAUCUGUAGGAAGAGCACAAAAGAUUUCCACAUUCUUCGCCUAGGUUUGAAUGAGUGAGAACAAGAAGACUAUCCAUAUUAUUUGAGGAUCCGAGUUUGAUAUUCAUGUUAAGGAAUGCAGAACAAAUUUAAAAUUUGAUGUUCAUUGAUGUUUAUUCUUUAAUUCACAAGACAACCGAUGAAUAAUAUUCGUUUGUUCUGAUCCUUUCUUUUUACCAAAUUUCAUAUAAGGGUGCACACAGUUACAGGAUACUGUGGGAAAGUUGGCACUAGUUCCUGAGAAUCACAUCAAAAUCAUGUUUUUGCAAGGCAUAGGCUAAAGAAAUCAGAUCAUGUAAUUUAGUUUGAAACUGAGAAUGGUAGUUUUGGGGAAGUUGUGUGCAAUAAGGAUUUUAUAAAAUAGAAAAGCAUUUCAAUUUUGACACAAGGAAAAAAUACAGCCUAACCAUUCUGCAGUAAACAAGACAAAUUUACUAUAUAGUCAAAAAAGUUUAUGAAGCUAUUUUUUAAAAUUUCAGUGCAAUAACCUGUUUAAUAGCACUAGUAGCAGUAUCCCCAUUUUGAAGACCUUUAAGAUGUGGAAGAGUUGAAGAGUAACCAUCAACAACAUCAGUAAGUGGUUUCCAGCGAAUAGGAUCCUAAAUAUAAAAUACAAAUAUAUAAAGUUGUGGUGAAUUAAAAAUUAAAAAGUUGAUAAAAUUAAAAGGAAAACAAAAAACACUGCCUAUGUGGAAUAUGAAUGCAUCUAUUUCAACAGUUAAAUUGGGAUGACAAUUAUAUUACCUCACCACCUUCCCCUGAAUUUGAUUUUCCACCUAAUCUGUUCAUUGCAAUUGCAAUUGCUUCAUGAGUUUCUCUAGAUAUAGCUCCAAGAGACAUCCCCCCUGUGCAAAACCGUUUCACAAUAGAUGAAGCAGGUUCAACCCUCCCCACAGGUAUGGGGGCACGAUCACUUUUGAACUCAAGAAGAUCGCGGAGAACCUACAAUGAACAAAAGAUAUCUCACAUAUUCCUGCUAUAAUAAAAUCAAUAAUAAUGUCCAGAAGUGUGAUUUUUAGAACCCACAUUCACAGGUCGAUUAGCCAAAUAUUGUUGAUAAACUGAAAAGGAAUUCUGGCUUUUCUGACGAACAGCUUUGUGGAGCAACUUCGACAUCUCCGGAUUAUUUGCAUGAUACUCGCCUUUAAAAAUGUAAAUCAAAAUGGUCAAUUUAUAAUGCACAAAUGAUAUUAAUUUGAAUGCAAUUUCAUCGAUAGAACAAUAACAGUUAUUCUGUGCUUCCAAAAACAAUGCAAAAAUGUCAACUGAUUCUUCAACUCUAACAGAUUAAGCAGCAAUUCAUACCUCCUGGUCUGAACUGUAUAAAUCCAAAAUUCUCCAAUCUUUUAGCUGUAUCUUCAGAGAAUGCUUUCACCCAGAAAGACAAAGUCUCUCUAGCUAGCUGUGCCACAUAGGGAGUAAGAGGGAAGUUUUGUUAGAAGUGAUUUCCAUUAUAUAGUAAAUUCCAAAAGCAUGUGUAUUUUUCCACUGAUACUCUGGUUCAUAAACAUUUGUUCACAAAUUUUCAAGCAAAAGAAAAAGUGCAUAAUUUCUCAUUAGAGUGUUGGCACGUGAGAUUUUAAGCCCAGAGAAGACCGAAGGUAAAGAUCAAGUGUCUAGCAAUUAAUAUUGAAUUUGCAAGUUACAUCACAAACCUCAAAUUCUCCUUGAAGGAGUCAUUCAAAGUAAUCUGUUAAAAUUGCAAAUCAAUCUUAGUCUAUAUAAUAUACCUUUAUGGUGUUAAUUAGACACACAAGUCAUAUAACAGAAGAAUUCAACAAGAGAACUAAAUGAGAAGUACAAUAAAGGAGGAUAAGAAAUUAUCCGAGUAAAGUUAAAUGUUGACAAAAACUGAUAGAGCCUGGAUAUAAAAAUAGUGUCUACAGUUGUGCAUCCCGCCAUUUUCAUUAUCAUACACAAUUGCUUACCAUAGCACAAUUUUCAGAGACAAUCGGAGUAGCUAUAUCCAAAUACAAGCGGCUAGUACUCUCUUGUUCAAACUCUCGACUUUUCAUAUUAUUCUUUGGUAUUAGGUAAAAAUCAAACAAGAAUUUAUUGUCUUCAAUGUAACAUAGCAAGUUAUAUUAUCCAUAUGAACACCUUGUCCAAAGUGCUACAUUUGCAGUGCAGAAAGUCAUAAUUAUAAGAUAUGUAUCUUAAUUUAAUAUAACAAUGUAUUAACAGAAUUAAUAUCUAAGGGAUCAAACAAAAGGUAUAUUUGAAUUGUCUACAGCUAAUACCAGAUGUCAUAAGAUAUUUUCAUAUCACGAGAUCCAUAAAUCCCUUGGCAAUCAUCUAUUAAUUGGAAGAAAAAAAAUGAACCAAUAAAAGGAAGGUGUCAAGUACUGGUCCUAAAUGAGCUACUUUGAAGAAGCUAUACUGCAAUAUUAAUAAACAUCACGACUUUCCGCACAAAAAUCUGCAGCUACUCUUGCUGCUAAUGCAGACUUAAUUACAAAAUCUAGUUUCUGUUAGAGAGAUUCUAAUUAUUUUGACCUUUCCAAUUUAAUAUAUUAGGCAAAUACCGAAACAUUCACAUUUGAGAGAGAGAUAGGUCCUAUUAUGGUGAUCCAAGCAAUGUUUAAUUAGCUGUAAUAUCUACGGGCUUUGAGUGAUAUCAAUAAUACUAUUGAUGAAAGGUAUUAUUUAUUCAUAUUGAAUAGAAUCUUCUACUUCAAAUAAUUUAGUAGCAACAUUUCAUUUUCACAUAUAGGCAUGAGUUAUGUAUUCUUCCUCACCUCGUCAAAAGUUAAUCCACCAAUUUUCGAUACACUUCCGCUGAAUGCAAGAUCCACAACUUCCUUCCCUAGUCCAUAGAUUUCAAAUAUCUGCGCACCACAGUAACUAUAUACAAGGAAUUGAUAAAUAAAUUUGUCAGAUUAUGGCAUCUGUAAGAAAAAUAUGAGAAAAGGAAACAAUAAACAUUUGAGAAUAUAUUAAUUUCAUGCAAAACGCUGAGACAGCAUUUUCAAGUUUAGAGACUAACAUUGUUCUAGACUUGAAUCUGUUUCGUGUAUUUAGUGAAAAUGAGUUCGGAUACAGAUACAAGAAGGUAUCAGCUAUAUAUAGCAGACCAUUAUCUUUCACUGGAUGAGGCUCAACCUAUAUCCAACUUUCUGAGUUGGUUAAAGGUUUUGUUAACGAGAGUCAGCUGUCAUUAACUAACUACUACAACACUUGACUAGCUAUAGCAUUUCAUUCCUAUAUUCUCAUUAUUGCAUAAAUCAUGUACCUUGAAAGCAACGAGAUGCCCAUUUUGGAAAGAAUUUUAAGAAGACCUGCUUUUACAGCCUGUCAUGCAGGAAAAUUGCAAAACUUGUUGUUAGUUAUCUUUUAGAUAAUAAUUAUAAUAAUAAUGGUAGUAUUCAUAAUAAUAAUAAUAGUAAUAAUAAUAAUAAUGAAAGAGGAAUUCAUUCAUUAACUAGAAGAAUAGUGAAACAAAAAAUAGACAUUGUAAAAGAGGGAAAAGAUUAGUGUAUUGUCAGUCAACGCACAUCACAUUAUAACAAUAAUCAUACAGAGUCCUAUUUCUUCAUUUUUCUUUAUACUCCUUUUCCUAAUAAUGUUAAAAUGGUAUUGUGAUCCCAUCCAAAUUUAGUCAUGAAUUAACCCAUUUAAGUAUGGUAUUGGUGAAUCUCACUUUGGGUUUCAAUCAAAUGCAGCUUUCCUUUGUGUCCUUGAAGACUACUAUUUUAAAUACAAAUCGAAAUAACUAGGGAAGCACAUAGCCGUCACAAUUACACAGCGGCUAGAAAUAAAAACAUUGCUUUUCAUUUCGCAUCCAGAAUAAUCGUUUGAAGUUAAGCACUAACCUUGCAGUAGUUUUUCUGUGCCUGUUCAAUUGAUACAGUUGGCAUCUUUCCAUUCUUCAUCAGAUUUACCGUUUUAUUACUCAAACGCCAUUGACGACAUGUCUCCAGUGCCAAGUAUGGACACACAGCACUAAAACAAACACAUAGACAUGUCAUGCCAUGGUCAAAAAUGUAUAGGAAAGGGAAUUAAAGGGGGAACUAAUUCCAAUAACAGCAUUAAACAAUUGUUUCAUGGAAAAGUGAGACAACGAGAUUUAUUCAAGUUCAAAUGCAAAAAUAGCUUUGAUACAAGGUAAGAUUGCAACUGUAUCAUAUGUAGAGCUAACAAAUGAAAAUUAGAUUUUAAAAAACAAAAUUUCCAAAGCUAAGAUUAAGUAGAGACAUAGAAUAACCUUGCACCAUAUCCUACUAAACAGGCAAACUGAUGGGUGCUAAAGCACUGAGAAGUAUCCGCUAUAAUUGAUGCUGACAUCCGAAGGCCAUUCUGGAUUAGAUGCUGAUGAACAGUACCAACAGCAAGAAGUAUUGGAAUUGCAGGAUGAGUUGGUUCCUGAGACCAAGAAAAUGUAUUGUACAAUUAGCCCCGCAAGCACACUAAAGGUCAAUCAAAGUUCCAACUGUACUAUUGGAAUCUUAAUGUACAAAGAUGGUUGACGGCUAUCCACAAGAACAGUAAUGAUCCAUACUUCAUACAAGAAUAACAACAACCAGUGUUUUUUUCAACUAGAUGGAGGCAAUACAUGGAUCAAACCACACUAGAAAGUCCUUCUAUGAAUUAAGUCCUCCAACUAUAAUCAAUUUAACUCGAUAUCUCUUAAUUAUUUAGCCUAUUGUAGUUGGACUUCACAUAUUCCCAAACAAUCUAAAAUGAGAGACUACACGAGCCAUGACUCACCAUAAAUGCAAAAUUUAAACACACAAAUAUAAAGCAUAUUUAUUCAUGUAAGAGAAAUAAAUGUUAACAAUAUACUCUUUCUAUUUUUAGGUAAAAUCUCAUAUAGGUCUUGCUAAUAGUGAGACUUGGUUAUUUAGUGGACCCAUCUAGAAUUUCACCCAAUAAGAGAGUAUAGAAAGAGUGUUACUAGCAUUUCUUCGUGGAAUUAUGAGAUAUUCAAAUUCCUUUGUUCUCUCUGGUAAAAUCUCAUUUUCCAAGAUAAAAGUACUAUUCAAAGUUUCAGUUGAGGGGAGGCAGACAGUAACUUAGAGCGGGUUGAUUAUGCCUCAGAGUCAGAGUUAUAGAUGUGAGGGUCUAACUCAACCCUAAAAAUCUAGCCCUAGGGGAAUAUUUUCCUAGACUUUAAAACUACACAACAGUAUGGCCACAUUUCUAGCAUAUGUGAGAUCUUAACACACUUCCCUCCUGCACAAGGUUGAAUAUCUAGAAUGGGAAGUUUAAACAUCUAGGGGUGGCCCAAUAUUAGAUUUAGUAUAGACUUUAAUUUUAAUAUUCAUGCUAGAAUCUAGAAUGGAUUGGUCCACAUUCAACCUCAAAAGCUAGCUCAAGAAGAACAACUACCCAAGUCUUUAUAAGGAGUACAUUGUUCAUAUAUUUAGCCAAAGUCAGAUCUUAACAAUACCAUAUAAAGUUUAGUAAUCGUCUAAUGAGAUAUGUACCAACUAAUCACAUCUAUCUCUACUCUGCCAAUGAGAGCUAUUAUAUAUACACUUCUUUAAAAACAUAAAGAUGCUAUUUGAUUGUUUUACCAGUGCUUCUGAUCGGUCUGAAAGAAUUAACAGCUGGGAACCAUUUCUCACAGCUUCAUCUGCAGCGUCACAGAGCUUAUUUAAUGCUUUCUCCAACGAACCAUCAAUCCCCUUAGUUAUAUCAAAAAAUGUGUGCAACACUUGUGGUUUUAAGUGGGAGUCUUUUAACAACGACUCAAGAUCCCCUUCAUUCAAUACCGGACUAGAUAAUAUAACCUGCUCCAGAAACAUACCAUCAUCAUGUGUGAUGAAAAAGACAUCAAAAUCAUGGGUAUUAUUUGACUAUGACUGACACAUUACAGAUGUGGGCAAAAAUACCUGCGAAGCAUUCUCUGGUCCUAUUUCCAAUAUAUUCCUUCUUUUCCCUAUAUUUACUUCAAGAGACAUAACUAACCCUUCUCGAAGCGGAUCAAUUGCAGGAUUUGUAACCUGUUAGCAUAAAAAAGAUAUCACAUGCAAACAUCAAUAAAAAAAAUAGUAAGAGUCUUAACUGCAGCAGAGUGAAGCUUUACUGUAUUUGAUAAGUUACUGAAACCUAGGCAAGUUCAACUUUAAAUUUCGAGGAGGGAGGGGGCUCUAUUGCAAGAUCUAUUUUAGAAGUCUAGGUGUUUGUGUCUUGAAGAUUUUUACCAGCCUUCGUUGUUUCCUGAAUUUGUAUUUGAAUUGUGACCGAAAAGCUUUUUCUCUUAUUUAUGUUAUUUUAUUUGCGUAUGUGUGUGUGUUUAUGAAUUUCGUAGAAUCUUAUAAUCCGUGAGUUAAGAUUACACAAUUUAUGAUUUUAUUUUGCUUCCCGAUUCUGAUUAAUUAGGUAUAGUUAGUUAGUUAGAGGAGUAAUCAAGUAUGAAUGGGAGAAAUAAGGAUAAUGAAAAUAAAUCAUACAGUUGUUAGUUCUAUUGUGAAUGAGUGAUCUUUUUGUGAAGAGGAAUCUUUGGAAGAAAGGGAAUUACUUUGCAGAAUAAAUUGUAGUAAAGUGGUCCUGCUUACCUGUGCAAACCGCUGCUUAAAGUAAUCAAAAAGCAUGUGAGGUUUCUGAGAUAAUGCUGCCAAUGGAAUAUCAUCUCCCAUACAAAAUGUAGGUUCCUUUCCUUGAGAAGCCAUACUCUCAAUCACCAUCUGGACAUCUUCACUUGAGUACCCAAAUGCCCUGGUCUCACCAAAGAGCGGUUAAGUAAGAACCAUAUAAGAUGUUGCAUUGUAAGCUGCAAUGAAGAGCAAACCCACUUUCCCAUCAACAUGCUAUGAACAUUAGCCUAAAAUUCAUUACAUCACAAAGAACCACAAAAGACGGUGUAUUUUAAGUUGAAAUGAAGAGCGAACCCACUUUUCCAUCAACAUGCCAAUAGAACAUUAGUUUAUAAAAUUUCAGUAUAACACAGGAAGCAGCCUCAAUUCAAUGAACUUGAUACUGGAAAACAGGGGACACUACAAAUAAAGGUCCUUUACCUACAACCUAGAGAAGAAUAUUUUACUUUAUAAAGGGUGCAUGUUAUUGUCUAAAUCACGGUUUUCAAUCAAAACCAAAUUUUGAAUCCUCAUAAAAACAAGAAAGAAAAUAAAAAACCACACAGAAUGUUAACACAAUAACAGUGAGUACAGUAAUGAGAUGGAGUUGAA